AUCCAAUCGACAGAUGGAUAGGAGGGAUAUGCAUUGGACCAAUUGCUAACCGAUAUGUGCGCAUGCGCAUUGGGCGCUUGUAAACUACAUAUCGUUAUCACUAUGUAAACCCUCCUUUAGUUUUGUAUCCUAAUAAAGUCUCCAAACUAUAUUGUAACGAAUAAUAUAUAUAAAAAAUCCUGUGGAUGAAUCAACUCAUGUGGACAUCGUCUAAACCUCAUUAUGACGCCCCUUCAUUCAUUCUAAGACCACGUCAUAUGACGCGGCGGACAAGAGGCGGGCCUAAGAGGUAGCGGACCAAUAAGCUAACAGUAUUGUCGGCAACACACGUGGUACACAACAGCUGCUUUUCAUCUUAUAGAUUGUAACAAGGUGUAUUUAAAUCGCUACAGGGAACUCCAAAAGUUUAUUGCUCCUGACGACGGCGUGUUGAAACGCUGAAACGCGCGUCGAGCUUCUUUUUAUUUUAUUUUCUUUGUUUUGCACUUUUUUGGUAGCACUGAUGGAUUGAUUUAAUUUAAUUUAUUUUAUCAGUUAUUACUUACUUUUGACAGGCAGGGACUGAGUUUCUUUGGUAGGCACUGGUGAUUCAUCACAGUGCCGAGGUAACUAGGGCAAGUGGACCUUUAUAGGAGUUUUUUGCAUAUUUACUCCUUGGGAUACCUCCCUUUACAUUUGCUCCCUUUCCCUAUUUCUUUAGUUACCCCCCCUUUUUCAAUUAGGGUCCCUGUUCUGGGAAGAUUUAGAGGGCGUGCCUUUUAGGAUCCUAGACAUUUAGCAGGCAGUUUUUUAGUAACUGGUUCCUGUGUCUAGCCUGCAGGACUCUCUUUUGCUAUAUUUCUUCCCACCUGUCUUGUUGUGUGUAUCUUUAGAAUUAUUAAAAGGUAGGGACCCCCUUUUCCCCUCUUCAUUUUACUCUCCUGUUUAGGACUCUCGUGGUCCUCCUUUCCGUUUUAUAUAUAUUGUAUAU